rnacentral:rRNA from 1 species
GAUGAACGCUGGCGGCGUGCCUAAUACAUGCAAGUCGAGCGAACGGACGAGAAGCUUGCUUCUCUGAUGUUAGCGGCGGACGGGUGAGUAACACGUGGAUAACCUACCUAUCAGACUGGGAUAACUUCGGGAAACCGGAGCUAAUACCGGAUAAUAUUUUGAACCGCAUGGUUCAAAAGUGAAAGACGGUCUUGCUGUCACUUAUAGAUGGAUCCGCGCUGCAUUAGCUAGUUGGUAAGGUAACGGCUUACCAAGGCAACGAUGCAUAGCCGACCUGAGAGGGUGAUCGGCCACACUGGAACUGAGGAACGGUCCACACUCCUACAGGAGGAAGCAGUAGGGAAUCUUCCGCGAUGGGCGAAAGCCUGACGGAGCAACGCCGCGUGAGUGAUGAAGGUCUUCGGAUCGUAAAACUCUGUUAUUAGGGAAGAACAUAUGUGUAAGUAACUGUGCACAUCUUGACGGUACCUAAUCAGAAAGCCACGGCUAACUACGUG